rnacentral:piRNA from 1 species
AUGCUAGACAAGACUACUGACCUU